AGCGAACGCUGGCGGCAGGCUUAACACAUGCAAGUCGAGCGGGCAUCCUUGUGGUUUCAUCGUCAGACGGUUGAGUAACGCGUGGGAACGUGCCCUUCGGUUCGGAAUAACUCCGGGAAACUUGAUCUAAUACCGGAUACCCCCUUUUGGGGAAAGUUUUACUGCCGAAGGAUCGGCCCGCGUCUGUUUAUCUAGUUGGUGAGGUUAUUGCUCACCAAGGCGACUAUCAAUAGCUGGUCUGAGAGGAUGAUCAGCCACACUGGGAGUGAGACACGGCACAGACUCCUCCGGGAGGCGGGAGAGGGGAAUAGUGGACCAUGGGGGCAAUGCUGAUGCAGUCAUGACGGGUGAGUGAUGAUGGUAUUAGGGUUGUAAAGCUCUUUUAUCCGGGAAGAUCAUGACGGUACCGGAGGAAUAAGCCCCGGCUAACUUCGUG
rnacentral:rRNA from 1 species